AGUGAACGCUGGCGGUAGGCCUAACACAUGCAAGUCGAACGGCAGCACAGUAAGAGCUUGCUCUUACGGGUGGCGAGUGGCGGACGGGUGAGGAAUACAUCGGAAUCUACUUUUUCGUGGGGGAUAACGUAGGGAAACUUACGCUAAUACCGCAUACGACCUACGGGUGAAAGCAGGGGAUCUUCGGACCUUGCGCGAUUGAAUGAGCCGAUGUCGGAUUAGCUAGUUGGCGGGGUAAAGGCCCACCAAGGCGACGAUCCGUAGCUGGUCUGAGAGGAUGAUCAGCCACACUGGAACUGAGACACGGUCCAGACUCCUACGGGAGGCAGCAGUGGGGAAUAUUGGACAAUGGGCGCAAGCCUGACCCAGCCACACCGCGUGGGUGAAGAAGGCCUUCGGGUUGUAAAGCCCUUUUGUUGGGAAAGAAAAGCAGUAGGUUAAUACCCCGCUGUUCUGACGGUACCCAAAGAAUAAGCACCGGCUAACUUCGUG
rnacentral:rRNA from 1 species